AUACAUGCAAGUCGAACGCGUCUCCGUUAAUGAUUUUAGGUGCUUGCACUUGAAAGAUUUAACAUUGAGACGAGUGGCGAACUGGUGAGUAACACGUGGGUAACCUGCCCUUGAAGUAGGGGAUAACACUUGGAAACAGGUGCUAAUACCGUAUAACAACCAAAACCACCUGGUUUUGGUUUAAAAGACGGCUUCGGCUGUCACUUUAGGAUGGACCCGCGGCGUAUUAGCUUGUUGGUAAGGUAACGGCCUACCAAGGCGAUGAUACGUAGCCGACCUGAGAGGGUAAUCGGCCACAUUGGGACUGAGACACGGCCCAAACUCCUACGGGAGGCAGCAGUAGGGAAUCUUCCACAAUGGACGAAAGUCUGAUGGAGCAACGCCGCGUGAGUGAUGAAGGGUUUCGGCUCGUAAAACUCUGUUGUUGGAGAAGAACAGGUGUCAGAGUAACUGUUGACAUCUUGACGGUAUCCAACCAGAAAGCCACGGCUAACUACGUGCCAGCAGCCGCGGUAAUACGUAGGUGGCAAGCGUUGUCCGGAUUUAUUGGGCGUAAAGCGAGCGCAGGCGGUUUUUUAGGUCUGAUGUGAAAGCCUUCGGCUUAACCGGAGAAGUGCAUCGGAAACCGGGAGACUUGAGUGCAGAAGAGGACAGUGGAACUCCAUGUGUAGCGGUGAAAUGCGUAGAUAUAUGGAAGAACACCAGUGGCGAAGGCGGCUGUCUGGUCUGUAACUGACGCUGAGGCUCGAA
rnacentral:rRNA from 1 species